GUAAGUGUAGCUUAUUUUAAAGCAUUGGUUUUGUAAACCAAAAAAGGAUUAACCCACUUACA
rnacentral:tRNA from 1 species